rnacentral:piRNA from 1 species
UAGAGGGUUUGUACAAAACUUCACAAUGG